AAAUUGAAGAGUUUGAUCAUGGCUCAGAUUGAACGCUGGCGGCAGGCCUAACACAUGCAAGUCGAACGGUAACAGGAAGCAGCUUGCUGCUUCGCUGACGAGUGGCGGACGGGUGAGUAAUGUCUGGGAAACUGCCUGAUGGAGGGGGAUAACUACUGGAAACGGUAGCUAAUACCGCAUAACGUCGCAAGACCAAAGAGGGGGACCUUCGGGCCUCUUGCCAUCGGAUGUGCCCAGAUGGGAUUAGCUUGUUGGUGGGGUAAU
rnacentral:rRNA from 1 species